UACAGGGGGUGCAAACGUUGCUCGGAAUCAUUGGGCGUAAAGCGCACGUAGGCGGUUCGUUAUGUCGGAUGUGAAAGCCCUUGGCUUAACCGAGGAAGUGCAUCCGAAACUGGCGAGCUAGAGUAUGGCAGAGGGUGGUGGAAUUUCCUGUGUAGCGGUGAAAUGCGUAGAUAUAGGAAGGAACACCAGUGGCGAAGGCGACCACCUGGGCUAAUACUGACACUGAGGUGCAAAAGCGUGGGGAGCAAACAGG
rnacentral:rRNA from 1 species